rnacentral:misc_RNA from 1 species
AACAUCGCGCACCUGCGGGAACCUGCGGAGGGAUCAUUACAGAGUUGCAAAACUCCCUAAACCAUUGUGAACGUUACCUAAACCGUUGCUUCGGCGGGCGGCCCGGGUCCUUCCCGGCGCCCCUCGGCCCUCGCGGGCGCCCGCCGGAGGUAAACCAAACUAUUGCAUUGUAUGGCCUCCCUGAGUCUUCUGUACUGAAUAAGUCAAAACUUUUAACAAUGGAUCUCAGAUCGGAAGAGC